rnacentral:rRNA from 1 species
UACGUAGGGGGCAAGCGUUGUCCGGAAUCAUUGGGCGUAAAGAGCGUGUAGGCGGCUCGGUAAGUCCGUUCUGAAAGCCCAGGGCUCAACCCUGGGAUGCGGAUGGAUACUGUCGGGCUCGAGUCCGGAAGAGGCGAGUGGAAUUCCCGGUGUAGCGGUGAAAUGCGCAGAUAUCGGGAGGAACACCAAUGGCGAAGGCAGCUCGCUGGGACGUGACUGACGCUGAGACGCGAAAGCGUGGGGAGCAAACAGG